rnacentral:rRNA from 1 species
AGAGUUUGAUCCUGGCUCAGGAUGAACGCUGGCGGCGUGCUUAACACAUGCAAGUCGAACGAUGAUCCCAGCUUGCUGGGGGAUUAGUGGCGAACGGGUGAGUAACACGUGAGUAACCUGCCCUUAACUCUGGGAUAAGCCUGGGAAACUGGGUCUAAUACCGGAUAUGACUCCUCAUCGCAUGGUGGGGGGUGGAAAGCUUUAUUGUGGUUUUGGAUGGACUCGCGGCCUAUCAGCUUGUUGGUGAGGUAAUGGCUCACCAAGGCGACGACGGGUAGCCGGCCUGAGAGGGUGACCGGCCACACUGGGACUGAGACACGGCCCAGACUCCUACGGGAGGCAGCAGUGGGGAAUAUUGCACAAUGGGCGAAAGCCUGAUGCAGCGACGCCGCGUGAGGGAUGACGGCCUUCGGGUUGUAAACCUCUUUCAGUAGGGAAGAAGCGAAAGUGACGGUACCUGCAGAAGAAGCGCCGGCUAACUACGUGCCAGCAGCCGCGGUAAUACGUAGGGCGCAAGCGUUAUCCGGAAUUAUUGGGCGUAAAGAGCUCGUAGGCGGUUUGUCGCGUCUGCCGUGAAAGUCCGGGGCUCAACUCCGGAUCUGCGGUGGGUACGGGCAGACUAGAGUGAUGUAGGGGAGACUGGAAUUCCUGGUGUAGCGGUGAAAUGCGCAGAUAUCAGGAGGAACACCGAUGGCGAAGGCAGGUCUCUGGGCAUUAACUGACGCUGAGGAGCGAAGGCAUGGGGAGCGAACAGGAUUAGAUACCCUGGUAGUCCAUGCCGUAAACGUUGGGCACUAGGU